CAUUACAUUAGUGGAGUAAAUUUUAUACGUGUCACACAAACGAACGGUCCAAACAGCGUACGAAGGGUACGUGGAAAUCGUCAUAAAUUUCCUGUUUCUUUGGAGGGCAAAUCACACGUUUUCCUAGCAGAAUGAUCACUGACGUGCAGCUGGCCAUAUUUGCCAACAUUCUGGGUGUAUCCCUAUUCUUGCUGGUGGUCCUUUUCCAUUUUGUGACAGUCAACAAUCCCAAAUCAAAGCAAGAAUGAGGCAGCUCAACCAGAAAUGUUACUCAGAAAUAAAAGAUCAAGAGCCCUAAUCACCAAGCAACCAUCCUCUGUCAGUGCCAGCGUUGUUCUGCUUAUGCACCCUUAAAAGUCCAACUCAUUUUGGACUUUGAAGUCAACAAAAUGGGACAAGGUCGGCAAGAGACAACUACUACCUGUGAAGUUUGCUAACUAAUCAACAAAUCAACAGCCCUCAUCAGCGCGAAUCAACAAUGUCACCUAGCAGCAGCUAAAACACCUGUUUGAAUUGAAAUGCCAGUCAACAUGGCCUUGAGAGAUCCCUGUCAGUUAUCAGCAACUUUUAGGCUAAGCGUAGCUCCAAAUAUUACAAGUUGCCAUCAACACCAACCAAUAAUACCUCUCUCUCUGAAUUAGUGACUCAUCCUGCUGACGCUCCACAAAAUAGCAAUCAUGGAUAGACCUCACGGAAGAACAGUGAAACGCUGCUAUAAGGAACACCGCUAUAACGAACAUUUGGCUAUAACGAACAUCCACUUAAGCUCCCAAAAUAGUAAAUUCUAUUAUGAUUCACAUUCACUAUAACGAACGACCACUGUUAGGAACAUUUUGUUUAUAGACACCAUCGUUUUCAUUAAAGUGGCAUUCUAAUGUAGUAGCAUUUGAUGGAUACAUCAACUAAACACAUCAACAGCAUUUUAUUUUUAUUUGCCAAAUAUUAGAGAGGGCCUAAUUUCAUGGCGCUGCUAAGCAUACAAUUUUCUGCUAACAGAGCCUCCAUCUAUUUCAAGGAGCAGUGAGAACAGCAAAAGCACGCUUAACCCAGAGGAAAAAGUUGCUUAAAUCAGUGACGUAACAAUACAAUUCUACAUGCCCCUCAACCGAUCCACCCCAUAAAAUAGUGCUUAAUGAUAGCACAAUUUUCUGCUAUAGUAAGCUCAACUUUUCUGCUAACUGUUAAGCAAUGCCAUGACAUUGAGCCCAGGCUUCAACUGUUUGUGAAAUUCUUGGAAACAAAAUAUGGAAGGUUUCUGUCAAUUUGAAGUGAUCAGAUUGUUUGUAAUUCAGGCAAUUAUUCAUAUUUAUGUACUAUAUGAAUUUUAAACCUGUUCAUCAGCCAAUGUUGCAAUCUAUUCAGUCCCGCAAAUCUUCAUUCAUAAUGAUGAGUCUUAAAUAUUACCUUUUCCCUAUAAAAACACAAUACAGAUCUACUAAAAACUAUCAAAAUUUGGACCCUGAGUUAAUGUUAUUUCAAUUUUUGAAAAUAAUGCAUAUGUAAUUACAUGAAGCAUUUGUUGUCCGUGCAUUGCUGUAAUUAUUCUGAAUAAAACCUUUAAUUUUCAAGAAAGCUUU
rnacentral:lncRNA from 1 species